rnacentral:rRNA from 1 species
GUCUAUGUCCAUAUCACCUUGAACAUGCCUGAUCUCCUCUGAUCUCAGAAGCUAAGCAGGGUCGGGCCUGGUUAGUACUUGGAUGGGAGAAAAAAAAAGAGCAUACUUA